GGAAAAUUCACUAUUGGUAAGGUAGAUUAUUUGCUACAUAAUUGAACUAUGUUCUUAUGAGUUCGACUCUCAUAUUUUCCG
rfam:Kluyveromyces lactis mitochondrion, complete genome.